rnacentral:rRNA from 1 species
UACGAAGGGGGCUAGCGUUGCUCAGAAUUACUGGGCGUAAAGCGCACGUAGGCGGCUUGGCAUGUCGGGGGUGAAAUCCCCGGGCUCAACCUGGGAACUGCAUCCGAAACUGCCUUGCUAGAGUAUGGGAGAGGGAAGUGGAAUUUCCGGUGUAGCGGUGAAAUGCGUAGAUAUCGGAAGGAACAUCAGUGGCGAAGGCGACUUCCUGGACCAAUACUGACGCUCAGGUGCGAAAGCGUGGGGAGCAAACAGG